GAGGCAGGUGCUAAGAUGCUCUAUGUGAUGAAGAGCACGGCAGCAAGAAAGAAGAAAGAAACUCAAAAAGCCCAGUGAAGCCACAGGGGUUGGGGACGUGAAUGCGGUGGAACAGAUGCCAGUUCUGGUCACUGACAGACUGCAGCCAAGUGAGUGUUGCUACAGGAUGCCUUCCAUAUGGAGAGCCUAGCGGAGCUCUGAGAGAGUUCUAGAUCCAGAGAACACUGAGAACCACCAGGUUCCAGAGGCCAGCAGGAUGCCGACCAGACUUCCCUGGACUGAUGACCCCACCAAUGUGUCCUGGAGCUCCGAUUCCCCAGAGACCCACCUUACUAGGGAAAGAGAGAGGCAGACUGGGAGUAUGGACCAACCAGUCAACGCCCGUGUUCAGCAGGAAAGCAAUUACAGAAGCCAGACCUUCCACCUUCUGCAACCCACAAUGACCCUGGGUCCAUACUUUCAGAGGGAUAGAGA